GAGGAAUAUUGGUCAAUGGGCGAGAGCCUGAACCAGCCAAGUCGCGUCAAGGAAGACUACCUUAUGGGUUGUAAACUUCUUUUAUACAGGAAUAAAAAGGCUUACGUGUAGGCCAUUGCAAGUACUGUAUGAAUAAGCAUCGGCUAACGCCGUGCCAGCAGCCGCGGUAAUACGGAGGAUGCGAGCGUUAUCCGGAUUUAUUGGGUUUAAAGGGUGCGCAGGCGGGCUUUUAAGUCAGCGGUGAAAUCUGGACGCUUAACGUCCAAACUACCGUUGAAACUGGGAGUCUUGAGUGCAGUAAAGGUGGGCGGAAUUCGUGGUGUAGCGGUGAAAUGCUUAGAUAUCACGAAGAACUCCAAUUGCGAAGGCAGCUCACUGGAGUGUAACUGACGCUGAUGCUCGAAAGUGUGGGUAUCAAACA
rnacentral:rRNA from 1 species